rnacentral:tRNA from 1 species
GCGGCUAUGGUGUAGCGGUAACACAGCAGCUUCCCAAGCUGUUAUCUCGGGUUCGAGUCCCGAUAGCCGCUCUA